rnacentral:pre_miRNA from 1 species
UCUUAAGGAUGAGCAAAAAAAGUGGUUUAUUGAUGUGGAAACUACUCCUGGUGAAGAUGCAGUGAA